UACCCGUACCGUUGCCUCGGCGGGCGGCCCCAGGGCGGGGCCGCAGCCUCCCCAGCGGAGGCGCCCGCCGCAGGUCGCAAAACUAUAACUAUAUUUAGUGGCAUCUCUGAGUAACUUCCAAACAAUCAAAACUUUCAACAACGGAUCUCUUGGUUCUGGCAUCGAUGAAGAACGCAGCGAAAUGCGAUAAGUAAUGUGAAUUGCAGAAUUCAGUGAAUCAUCGAAUCUUUGAACGCACAUUGCGCCCGCCAGCAUUCUGGCGGGCAUGCCUGUCCGAGCGUCAUUUCAACCCUCAAGCCCUGCUUGGUGUUGGGGCACUACGCGCGAGCGUAGGCCCUCAAAAUCAGUGGCGGACCCGCUGGAGGUCCGGGCGUAGUAACACAUCUCGCCCGAGGUCCCCAGCGUGCCCCUGCCGUUAAACCCCCAAAUUUACAGAAGGUUGACCUCGGAUCAGGUAGGAAUACCCGCUGAACUUAAGCAUAUCAAUAAGCGGAGGAAAAGAAACCAACAGGGAUUGCCCUAGUAACGGCGAGUGAAGCGGCAACAGCUCGAAUUUGAAAUCUGGCCUCGGCCCGAGUUGUAAUCUGUAGAGGAUGCUUUUGGCGCGGUGCCUUCCGAGUGCCCUGGAACGGGACGCCACAGAGGGUGAGAGCCCCGUAUGGUCGGACACCAAGCCUGUGUAAAGCUCCUUCGACGAGUCGGGUAGCUUGGGAAUGCUGCUCUAAGUGGGAGGUAAACUUCUUCUAAAGCUAAAUACUGGCCAGAGACCGAUAGCGCACAAGUAGAGUGAUCGAAAGAUGAAAAGCACUUUGAAAAGAGGGUCAAAUAGUACGUGAAAUUGUUGAAAGGGAAGCGCUCAUGACCAGACUUGCGCCGGGCUGAUCAUCCAGUGGUCUCCACUGGUGCACUCUGCCCGGCUCAGGCCAGCGUCGGCUGUCACGGGGGGACAAAAGCACUGGGAAAGUAGCUCUCUCCGGGGAGUGUUAUAGCCCUAUGCAGAAUACCCCCGCGGCGGCCGAG
rnacentral:misc_RNA from 1 species